rnacentral:rRNA from 1 species
AGUGAACGCUGGCGGCAGGCCUAACACAUGCAAGUCGAGCGGCAGCGCGGGGCAACCUGGCGGCGAGCGGCGGACGGGUGAGGAAUACAUCGGAACCUACCCUGUCGUGGGGGAUAACGUAGGGAAACUUACGCUAAUACCGCAUACGAACUGAGGUUGAAAGCGGCGGACCGCAAGGCGUCGCGCGAUUGGAUGAGCCGAUGUCCGAUUAGCUAGUUGGCGGGGUAAAGGCCCACCAAGGCGACGAUCGGUAGCUGGUCUGAGAGGACGACCAGCCACACUGGAACUGAGACACGGGCCAGACUCCUACGGGAGGCAGCAGUGGGGAAUCUUGCGCAAUGGACGAAAGUCUGACGCAGCCACGCCGCGUGAGUGAAGAAGGCCGUCGGGUUGUAAAGCUCUGUCGGGAGGGACGAAAAUGCUGUGGGUUAAUAGCCCAUAGUACUGACGGUACCUUCAAAGGAAGCACCGGCUAACUCUGUGCCAGCAGCCGCGGUAACAC